CUUUUGGCGGCUUUUCGUACCCGUUCACCAAACUACUCCCAGAACAGACGUUUGGGGUGGAGUGUGGGAAAGAAACAGAUGCCAUUUGCCUCGUUAGAAAUCAGUGUUAACAUCAGAAGAACUGAUACCUCAAGGUAUUUAAUCAGAAUACAGAUGCUUUUUUUCUACCGUCAUUGGAAAAAGUCACUUUUUACCCAUAUGGUGUAGUUACAACAUCUACCAGCAGGAGCUAAUGUGGAGCUUCCAACAAAGUUUUCCCAGCUAAGCCUUCACCACUCAUAGCAGCCCCAGGCAUCUACCCCUCCCCUGCUCGACCUGCACUCCAAAGUCUGUACAGGCCAGAUGAAGACUGUGUUCAUCGCCCUUCAGCCCGAUCGUGUUGGCUAAUUAUGACAGUUAGUAGUGGGGAUUGUGAGAGUCAUUCACAGGCCAUUAGAGCUCAGCCCGCGAGGUGAUAUCGUCUGUCACUUCCUCUAUUCCCCUGCAGCGCUGCUUUGUCUGUGGCAUCACUCCACAUCCCACAAGACCUGAAAGAGGAAGCCUUAAAUCUGCCUCGGAAGUCUUGCGCAUUAGUUCCUUUCCUUUUUUUUGUGAGGUGAGUAUGCGCUUUCCUGACUGUUGGGUUAAUUGCACAUUUAACAUGAUCAGGAUAUCUGUUGCCGGAUGUGAGAUGUAGGGAGCAAACCUAAAUGUUCCUAACUGUUUCACAUCUAACUUCAAUGAAAGCAGUGAAAAUAAAUAAGACCAUCAUAUUAUGCUUAUUUACCUUUGAAAUGCAAAUUUUCCAUUUUACGCCACACCAAGUCAAGGGCAGAGGGACGAUGAAAUGAUGAAAAAUGUGUUGAAUACCGAUCAACAGAGGCCCCUUUGUGCAAGCGUUGACCUCUAACUGCAACUGCGCUAAGAAAGAUAAUGCAUUGGUCUCAUUAGAGGAACAGGAAAACUGAGAAUUGUUUCAAUAUGACCAACAAUAGUAGCUGUUAAAUUAUCUAGAGAACCAUGGAUAAAGGGUCGUUCAUGAAAAGACAUAAAAAUUCUGUCAUCAUUUACUCAAUCAUGUCAUUCCAGACCUGGAUGCAUUUCUUUUUACUGUUCUUUUUCUGCUAUGAAAAACAGCAGUUUGCUAUUGAGCUUCAAAAAUGUCUGUUAUUGUAUUAUAAAAAUGGACUGAACAAUUUAUGUAGUAUUUUUCAAGCCAUUCUUCCAAGAACAGUCCUUUUGAGGCUACAAGGCUAGAGUCCUGCUCAGCAUUAAACACUAGAACAAGACAGUCUAGCAGGGUUGCCAAGUCUCACCCCAAACACCACCCCCUCAUAGCAGAAACUCGCUUUUGACAGAGCAGACCCCUGACAGAGGGGUAACAACAUGAAAAUACUACUAAAUUAUAAUUUGGUUAAUAGUUUAAAUAAAAAAUACAAAUCUUUAUAUUAACUGAUUUUUUUAAUGCAGUACAUGCAAUGAGAACUGUCUAUGGUCUCUCAGUGGUUUACAUUAUGCACCGUUUAGCAUUAUGCAAUUAAUUUACAACAAAAUUACAGAAAACAUAUCUUAAUCUACAAAAUCUUUUUUUUUUUUUUUUUUG